rnacentral:misc_RNA from 1 species
UACGUAGGGGGCAAGCGUUGUCCGGAAUUAUUGGGCGUAAAGCGCGCGCAGGCGGUCUUUUAAGUCUUGUGUUUAAACCCGGGGCUCAACCUCGGGACGCACGGGAAACUGGGGGACUUGAGUGCAGGAGAGGAAAGCGGAAUUCCACGUGUAGCGGUGAAAUGCGUAGAGAUGUGGAGGAACACCAGUGGCGAAGGCGGCUUUCUGGCCUGUAACUGACGCUGAGGCGCGAAAGCGUGGGGAGCAAACAGG